CGCGGGGCUGCGAGGAGGCGGGCGGGAGGGCUGGUGGGUUGGGCGGGUGGCGAGCGGCCGGGAGCGCGCUGUGGACUCGGCCGCGGCGAGUAGUUAGUUGUUGUUAGUCAGUGUCAGUUGCUGGGUGGCGGCGCCGCGAUCACCAGGAAGGGAACGGGCCGACCGGCGAUGGUGGUCCCCGCGGCGGCAUGUGCGCCCCACAGGUGUCUGUCUAAACUGGGACUUAUGCUGUUGACAUAUCUUGGUUGGUUUAUCUAAAAACAUAAGAAAGACUUCUCUCAAGGUUUUUUCCUGUAUUCUAAGAGGCUGAUCAUUGAAGUAAAAAGAGAUGAAGCAGUGAGUACUUCUGCUUAAUUUUCUGUUUGGGAUUCUUUGUGAGUGAUUUUCAUCUAGAUUACCUGAUUUAAAUGUUCUGCAGUUGUCCUUGUUCAUGAUUAGGAUAUUGGUGAGCAGAAUUUUUGUGUAAAACCCUAGAGGAAAUCUGUAAUUGUCAUAAGUUUCAUUAUUUAAAGGCCUAGGUGAAAACAAGGGGCCAAACUUUAAUCAUGAAUGUUUCUUAAUAAAUCAGUAACUACAGGGU
rnacentral:lncRNA from 1 species